rnacentral:tRNA from 1 species
AAUAGCUCAGUCGGUAGAGCAACUGGCUGUUAACCAGUGGGUCGGGGGUUCGAGUCCCUCUU